GUAGCAUAAAUUCAAAAUAGUUGGCACUCCAAUUUCACCGUUGCAAUAGUAAAAUCUAGUUGAACCAGAGCUCUUUGCUAGAUUUAGUUCAUUGAGGAUGGUUGUAGUUGUUGUUUUAUUUUGACUGUGCAAGUGCUUUUAAAUUGCGUAUCAGAAAUUUAUUUCGUAGAUAGUUGAAUCGUGUGAUUUCAGUAACUAGGAGCUGUUCUUCCCUAUCUGCGUGCAAUCAACUUCAUUUCUCACUGCCUCUAACUACGGAACAAGGCCAUUUUAAUGGUUUUGUGAUAUGCUAGUACUCAAAGUCUAUUUCUAGAAUUCUUUCAUCUUCAUUUGAAAUUUGUGCUAAUUUCAGAAAAUGAGUUGUUUCUUGCUUUCAAGGUAACCUAAAGAUGGUGGUUGAAGUAUUAGAGGUAUACUACUUUACCUCUUAUAUUCUAUUCUAUAUCCAUUGUAUCAUUUUUAUUAGGCAUUUACGAUCUUGCAAUCGUUUUCUUUUCAUUUGAAAGAUUCUGAUAAUAGUUGUUCAUCCCUUUCCAUAAGUGGCCAACUUGAAAUUCGGAGAAAAUAUUGUAUCCUUUUUUUAUAUUACUUGCAGCAUAUUUGUUUGUUCGAGAGUAGUGAAAUUGCUUAAUGACAUUUUCAACCUUCGUAUGGAUGGUAGAGUUUGGGUUGAGCUUUAUGUAAUUUGAUGAAUGUACAUAACUAUGUUUAAAUUCUCGUGUUGUAGUUGUAAUAUCCUUAGUCUGGUCAUGGGGAGAAUGCCAAGGCAAGUCAUUUAGAAUGGAAUGGGAUAGUAUAUAUAUAAGUAUAUAUAUAUAUAUAUAUAUAUAUUAAACACAAAGUUUGUGAUUUGUCUUCAUCUCUACUUGUAAACAGGCUAUGAGGGAAAGGAAGCUAUGGAAAUGAAAGUGACUUUGGAAGUAAAGGGAGUGGUAAGUUUGAUGUUUGUACUCUUGACGGCAGUUCUGUUCAAUAUAAAUACAGGAUUUAGAAGUUUUUUCUUGCGGAGUAAGUUGACUGUGUUGCUACUUUCUUGAUGCUAGGAAGACUGUAUAAAUGUUAUGUUUAACUUUUUCUUGUUCUUUUUCUAUCUGUCUUUUCCAGAGAGGUCAACUUGCAGGAACAUAUGCAUUUGGAACUUUUUACUAUUUCACACUACUAAAAUGAGAUUCUAGUGUAAUAUUUGUUAUCAAAUUUUAGUGCUUGUUCAUUACUUCAUUAGACUGUUAUAUUAAGAAUAGAUUGCUUGAAUAAAUAACUAUGUUUUUAUGUUCACGCAGCUGACAGAUCUUCUGGCUUUUCUGUAAGGUACCCUUUUAUAUGCGUUGAAUUAUGAAAUACAAGUCUAAAUGAUAGAAUUUACCUGUGAGCUUUCCAGUUGUCGAGGUGAACUGAUUAGUUAACUAAAUGCAGUGGAAUUGAAAGGGAAUUUUUUUUCUGUGGCAGCUGAGGUUGGUCCAUGGCGCAAAACUGGUUGUCUAGGUAAUGUUCAAUUGCCCCCACCUAUGGUUUUCAGUUGUUUAAAUGACCAAUUAUUGAAGUUUUAUCUUUCUAAUCUUAUGAUUCAUUUAAUUUAAUUUGUAGGCGAAUGGGCACAAAGUGAUGUCUGUCUAUCCACAUUAUGAUGUCUUGGCAUACUUUUGUCUUUGUUGAGGUUUAACUCUUAAUCUCCAAGUCGAAUUUCUUAAUUGCUUUUCUUUCAAGAUUCAAUUAAAAUAAUGAUGAUCUUAUUACAUAUUAAUGUCCGAGAUAAACUGGAGACGGUUAAGUAGAGAAUAAGAUCUCGUCAAUUUGCUGAUAUAUGUAAAUUAUUUUGGGUGUAGCUUUAUUGAAUAAGACCUUUUAAUUUUGCAGGGAAUUAUAAUUUUGCAGAGAAGUAUUAAGUUUUUAUUGAUCAAAUGCAUCCUAUCAAGUUCGAAGUUGGAUAUUUUUAGCACGUGUUUGGAAGA
rnacentral:lncRNA from 1 species